AUUGAACGCUGGCGGCAGGCCUAACACAUGCAAGUCGAGCGGAGCGGCGGACGCGUGAGUAAUGCCUAGGAAUCUGCAUGGUAGUGGGGGAUAACGUCCGGAAACGGGCGCUAAUACCGCAUACUAUCAGAUGAGCCUCGGUCGGAUUAGCGAGUGGGGGGGGUAAAGGCCUACCAAGGCGACGAUCCGCAACUGGUCUGCGAGCAUGAUCAGUCACACUGGAACUGAGACACGGUCCAGACUCCUACGGGAGGCAGCAGUGGGGAAUAUUGGACAAUGGGCGAAAGCCUGAUCCAGCCAUGCCGCGUGUGGGAAGAAUGUUUUCGGAUUGUAAAGCCCUUUAAGUUGGUAGGCGUUACCAACAGAAUAAGCACCGGCUAACUUCGUGCCAGCAGCCGCGGUAAUAC
rnacentral:rRNA from 1 species